CCAAGAUUGAGCCACUGCACUCCAGCCUGGGUGACAAAGAAAGACCCUGUCGAAGAAGAAGAAGCAGCAGCAGCAGAAAAAGAAGAAGAAGAAGAAGCAGAAGAAGCAGAAGAAGAAGCAGAAGAAGAAGAAGCAGAAGAAGAAGAAGAAGAAACAAAGGGGAGGAUGCAACUUGGAGAGGCCCAGCCCCUAGGAGAAAGCCUAACUGCAGUAAAGGAGUCCUGGAGACAGGACAAGAAUGAAG
rnacentral:lncRNA from 10 species